CAGUGAAAUUGAACUCGCUGUGAAGAUGCAGUGUACCCGCGGCAAGACGGAAAGACCCCGUGAACCUUUACUAUAGCUUGACACUGAACAUUGAGCCUUGAUGUGUAGGAUAGGUGGGAGGCUUUGAAGUGUGGACGCCAGUCUGCAUGGAGCCGACCUUGAAAUACCACCCUUUAAUGUUUGAUGUUCUAACGUUGGCCCGUAAUCCGGGUUGCGGACAGUGUCUGGUGGGUAGUUUGACUGGGGCGGUCUCCUCCUAAAGAGUAACGGAGGAGCACGAAGGUUGGCUAAUCCUGGUCGGACAUCAGGAGGUUAGUGCAAUGGCAUAAGCCAGCUUGACUGCGAGCGUGACGGCGCGAGCAGGUGCGAAAGCAGGUCAUAGUGAUCCGGUGGUUCUGAAUGGAAGGGCCAUCGCUCAACGGAUAAAAGGUACUCCGGGGAUAACAGGCUGAUACCGCCCAAGAGUUCAUAUCGACGGCGGUGUUUGGCACCUCGAUGUCGGCUCAUCACAUCCUGGGGCUGAAGUAGGUCCCAAGGGUAUGGCUGUUCGCCAUUUAAAGUGGUACGCGAGCUGGGUUUAGAACGUCGUGAGACAGUUCGGUCCCUAUCUGCCGUGGGCGCUGGAGAACUGAGGGGGGCUGCUCCUAGUACGAGAGGACCGGAGUGGACGCAUCACUGGUGUUCGGGUUGUCAUGCCAAUGGCACUGCCCGGUAGCUAAAUGCGGAAGAGAUAAGUGCUGAAAGCAUCUAAGCACGAAACUUGCCCCGAGAUGAGUUCUCCCUGAGACUUAGAGUCUCCUGAAGGAACGUUGAAGACGACGACGUUGAUAGGCCGGGUGUGUAAGCGCAGCGAUGCGUUGAGCUAACCGGUACUAAUGAACCGUGAGGCUUAACCUU
rnacentral:rRNA from 1 species